AGAGUUUGAUCCUGGCUCAGAACGAACGCUGGCGGCAGGCUUAACACAUGCAAGUUGAACGGGAUUUGUAUGGUGCUUGCACCAUGUAAUGAGAGUAGCGCACUGGUGAGUAACACGUGGGAACAUACCUUGAAGUGGGGGACAACAGUUGGAAACGACUGCUAAUACCGCAUAAUCCCUGAGGGGGAAAGAUUUAUCGCUUUAAGAUUGGCCCGCGGAAGAUUAGGUAGUUGGUGGGGUAAAGGCCUACCAAGCCGACGAUCUAUAGCUGGUCUGAGAGGACGAACAGCCACAUUGGAACUGAGACACGGUCCAGACUCCUACGGGAGGCAGCAGUGAGGAAUAUUGGGCAAUGGAGGAAACUCUGACCCAGCCAUGCCGCGUGAGUGAAGAAGGUUUUCGAAUUGUAAAGCUCUUUCGGAUGGGACGAUGAUGACGGUACCAUCUAAAGAAGCCCCGGCAAACUUCGUGCCAGCAGCCGCGGUAAUACGAAGGGGGCAAGCGUUGUUCGGAAUUACUGGGCGUAAAGGGUGUGUAGGCGGAUUUGUAAGAUAGUGGUGAAAUACCUGAGCUCAACUUAGGAAUUGCCAUUAUAACUAUAGAUCUGGAGUGACAGAGAGGAUAUUGGAAUACCCAGUGUAGAGGUGAAAUUCGUAGAUAUUGGGUAGAACACCAGUGGCGAAGGCGAGUAUCUGGCUGUCAACUGACGCUGAGGCACGAAAGCAUGGGGAUCAAACAGGAUUAGAUACCCUGGUAGUCCAUGCUGUAAACGA
rnacentral:rRNA from 1 species